AAUCAACGCUGGCGGCGUGCCUAACACAUGCAAGUCGAACGCGAAAGUCCCGCAAGGGGCAAGUAGAGUGGCAAACGGGUGAGUAACACGUGGGUGACCUGCCUUCGAGUGGGGGAUAACGUCCCGAAAGGGACGCUAAUACCGCAUAACAUCCUGCCUUUUAAGAGGUGGACAUCAAAGCCGGGGAUCGCAAGACCUGGCGCUUGAAGAGGGGCCCGCGCCUGAUUAGCUAGUUGGGGGGUAAUGGCUCACCAAGGCAACGAUCAGUAUCCGGCCUGAGAGGGCGGACGGACACACUGGGACUGAGACACGGCCCAGACUCCUACGGGAGGCAGCAGUGGGGAAUUGUUCGCAAUGGGCGCAAGCCUGACGACGCAACGCCGCGU
rnacentral:rRNA from 1 species